UGCACUUGUCUGUGAUAACCUUGUGCCGAUCGCACGUCUCCGUGAUGGCGACAACGCAUUCGGAUGUCUGCCCUUUCAACUUUCGAUGCAAUUUUCCGUGCCUACCAUGGUGACCACAGGUAACAGGGAAUCAGGGUCCGAUUCAGAGAGGGAGCCUGAGAAACGGCUACCACAUGCAAGGAAGGCAGCA